rnacentral:rRNA from 1 species
UUGAACGCUGGCGGCAUGCUUUACACAUGCAAGUCGAACGGUAACAGGCCUUCGGGUGCUGACGAGUGGCGAACGGGUGAGUAAUGCAUCGGAACGUACCCAGAGGUGGGGGAUAACGCAGCGAAAGCUGUGCUAAUACCGCAUGUGAUCUGAGGAUGAAAGCGGGGGACCGAGCAGCAAUGUUUGGCCUCGCGCCUUUGGAGCGGCCGAUGUCGGAUUAGCUAGUUGGUGGGGUAAAGGCCUACCAAGGCGACUAUCCGUAGCUGGUCUGAGAGGACGACCAGCCACACUGGGACUGAGACACGGCCCAGACUCCUACGGGAGGCAGCAGUGGGGAAUUUUGGACAAUGGGCGCAAGCCUGAUCCAGCAAUGCCGCGUGCGGGAAGAAGGCCUUCGGGUUGUAAACCGCUUUUGGCAGGAACGAAACGGUGUCCGCUAAUACCGGGCGCUAAUGACGGUACCUGCAGAAUAAGCACCGGCUAACUACGUG